rnacentral:rRNA from 1 species
GUAGGGAAUAUUGGGCAAUGGAGGCAACUCUGACCCAGCCAUGCCGCGUGCAGGAUGACGGCCCUCUGGGUUGUAAACUGCUUUUAUACGGGAAGAAAAAAUACUACGUGUAGUAUACUGACGGUACCGUAAGAAUAAGGAUCGGCUAACUCCGUGCCAGCAGCCGCGGUAAUACGGAGGAUCCAAGCGUUGUCCGGAUUUAUUGGGUUUAAAGGGUGCGUAGGCGGAUCUUUAAGUCAGUGGUGAAAGCCUGCAGCUUAACUGUAGAAUUGCCAUUGAAACUGAAGAUCUUGAAUGUGGUUAAAGUAGGCGGAAUGUAUCAUGUAGCGGUGAAAUGCUUAGAUAUGAUACAGAACACCGAUAGCGAAGGCAGCUUGCUGAACCAUUAUUGACGCUGAGGCACGAAAGCGUGGGGAGCGAACAGGAUUAGAUACCCCUAGUAGUCC